GCUGCGGUCGUCCAGGUAACCGAGACCACCGAAAGCGCGGAACUGAAGGUCAAGGGAGGCUACUGUAUAUUGUUCCGCCUUUGAAGAAGUUAUUUAACAUCAGCGAGUCUCUUGUUAACUAGCUUGUGCCCUUUUCCUCGUGGAUUUGAAGAAACACAUUGUGGCUUUCCUUUCCCUACAAUGUCCUUGGAACUGCCUUUUUAAAUAUGGUGUGAGAAAUUCCAAUGGGAAUCCAGAAAUGGAAAAAAAAAAAAAAAAAAACAAAAGAAAAAAAAAAGGGACGGUCAACCUGCACCUGGCUGGGACACUAUGAAAACCCUGAAGAGCACUAAGAAGACAGUGUCGCUACGCUCCGAGGGAAGAUGGCAAACGCCUGCCAACACUGUUUCUACUGAAGCUUCGGACCCCGAUCUCAAAUAACCAACUACUGGGAGUGCGGUCACUGUGUUGCAGUCCACAGCCAUGCUCUGACCUUGUGGGUAAGUCUCGGCCUCUACUCUACUCUGUAAACAAGCUUACUCCAUUUGAACCCCAAUGCGGGCUCCAGAACCCCAGCUUUGA